CAAGCCUCUGCUAAUGUGUACCUAGUUUAUAUUAGUGACCCAUAGGUUGAGGAGGCGGUGACCGUGGCGGUGGAGGAGGAGGAUGAGGUAGCCAACACUGUUUAUAUAUUUAUAUAUAUUAAUUGGGGUAGCCCCCAUGCAUAUAAAAAAAGACAACUCUGUUCCGCAGAGUAGCUGUUGACAUUAUAGUUGCGCAGGAACUUUGUUGACUCUAGAGAACCUCGGACAAAUCGCACAUCCCCGUGGCGGUGACUUUGCAUGCGGAUGUCAUCCAUUUCAACUUUCAAUGCCAGUUUGUGCGCCUACCAUGGUGACCACGGGUAACGGGGAAUCAGGGUUCCAUUCCAUACAGGGACCCUGGGAAACUGCUACCACAUGCAAGGAAGGCAG